rnacentral:rRNA from 1 species
CCUACGGGUGGCAGCAGUGAGGAAUAUUGGUCAAUGGACGCAAGCCUGAACCAGCCAAGCAGCGUGCAGGAAGACGGCUCUAUGAGUUGUAAACUGCUUUUGUACAAGGGUAAACGCAGAUACGCGUAUCUGUCUGAAAGUAACGUACGAAUAAGGAUCGGCUAACUCCGUGCCAGCAGCCGCGGUAAUACGGAGGAUUCAAGCGUUAUCCGGAUUUAUUGGGUUUAAAGGGUGCGUAGGUGGUCGGAUAAGUUAGAUGUGAAAUCCCGAGGCUCAACCUCGAAAUUGCAUUUGAUACUGUUCGUCUAGAGUGUAGUUGCGGUAGGCGGAAUGUAUGGUGUAGCGGUGAAAUGCUUAGAGAUCAUGCAGAACUCCGAUUGCGAAGGCAGCUUACCAAGCUACUUCUGACGUUGAGGCACGAAAGCGUGGGUAUCAAACAGGAUUAGAUACCCCGGUAGUC